GUACGGUGGCGCCUUUCCAUGGGAAUUUCAAGGAUCAUGAGAAGAUACUGUUGAAUUAAUGUCUCGAGUUUGAGCCUUAUCAUGGAAUCUAAUUCGUUAGAAGAUUUUGAUUUGUUCAAAAUCUGGUAUGCAUCUAUCCGAAUCAAAUUAGUUUCUUUUCUUGGGCGGGGGUUCUUCGUGAUUUUUCACGAGUGCUUUGUUGCACACGUGACUCCAAGUUUUGAUCUUGGAAAGUUUUGCACUACAAGACAAAAUAAGUGGUCACGCAUAUGUUCAUUUUUAGGGGUAAAAAGGUCGAGACUCCGGGGGUCUAUAGGUGAGAUCUCCAGAUCGCGACUCGAAGGAUAAAAAGAGGCGCAGAGGAGUUCUCUUUUGGCCACAGGACGUGCGUUUGGACACGGUGAUUUGUGCGGAGAGUUUUACGUCCACCUUUUCUUUUUUGAA